rnacentral:rRNA from 1 species
AUUGAACGCUGGCGGUAUGCUUAACACAUGCAAGUCGAACGGCAGCACGAGGAAAGUUUACUUUCUUCGGUGGCGAGUGGCGGACGGGUGAGUAAUACAUAGGAAUCUACCUUUUAGUCUAGGAUAACUACCCGAAAGGAUGGCUAAUACUGGAUGUGGACUACGGUUUAAAGCAGGGGACCUUCGGGCCUUGCGCUAAGAGAUGAGCCUAUGUGGGAUUAGCUAGUUGGUGAGGUAAUGGCUCACCAAGGCGACGAUCUCUAGCUGGUUUGAGAGGAUGAUCAGCCACACUGGGACUGAGACACGGCCCAG